rfam:Gallibacterium salpingitidis strain F150 contig000005, whole genome shotgun sequence.
UGUCGUGGCUGGAUUAGAGAUCGGCCAACGAUGUAUGUGUAACAACUUAACUUUUUAGGAGUUUAUUAUGUCUCUAAGUACAGAAGCAAAAGCAAAAAUUGUUGCUGAAUUCGGUCGUGAUGCA